rnacentral:rRNA from 1 species
AGGUUAACCGUAUAGGGGAGCCGUAGAGAAAUCGAGUCUUAAUAGGGCGUUUAGUUGCUGGGUAUAGACCCGAAACCAGGCGAUCUAUCCAUGAGCAGGUUGAAGGUUGGGUAACACUAACUGGAGGACCGAACCCACUGUCGUUGAAAAGCCAGGGGAUGACUUGUGGAUAGGGGGGAAAGGCUAAUCAAGCCUGGUGAUAGCUGGUUCUCCCCGAAAGCUAUUUAGGUAGCGCC